rnacentral:lncRNA from 1 species
AAAGGUUCGGGCAAAAAUUAGAGAUAAAAAGGAAAAAACUAUACACCCGGCAAGUCGAAAACCCCACAAGGGCGGCUUGGGCAAAAAAGGGUAUCCCGAUGGACUGAAAACCCGAAAGGGCGGUCAAGGCAAAAGAGGGAGUGAAACGAAUAACUGCGUCUAGCAUGAUCCUUUAUACUUUGGUUAAGACACAUGGAUAAUCCCCAGCAGAGAUCGG